rnacentral:rRNA from 1 species
GACGAACGCUGGCGGCGUGCUUAACACAUGCAAGUCGAACGGAAAGGCCCUGCUUUUGUGGGGUGCUCGAGUGGCGAACGGGUGAGUAACACGUGAGUAACCUGCCCUUGACUUUGGGAUAACUUCAGGAAACUGGGGCUAAUACCGGAUAGGAGCUCCUGCUGCAUGGUGGGGGUUGGAAAGUUUCGGCGGUUGGGGAUGGACUCGCGGCUUAUCAGCUUGUUGGUGGGGUAAUGGCUUAGCAAGGCUUUGCCGGGUAGCGGGCCUGGGAGGGUGGCCGGCCUGAGUGGGAGUCAGACCACGCUGGGACUGCUACGGGGGGCAGACGCCGGCGGUAGUGAGCAGUGGGGGAAAGUCUGAUGUAGGGGCGCGCCGUAAGCGACGGCGGCCCUCGGGUUGUGACCGUCUUUGGGCAGUGAAGCAGGUCUGCCUGGUAUGUAGGCGGGUUGACGGUAGUUGGAUAAGAAGCGCCGGCUAACUACGUG